AUGACGGACGCGAUAGCAAAGUUCUGGUGGGGUGAUGAUGACAACCACAAGCGGAUUCAUUGGGCCGCAUGGUGGAAACUCUAUGUGCCUAAGGACAGAGGAGGACUGGGGUUCAGGGAUUUUCAUAGCUUUAACCUUGCCCUACUUGCUAAACAAGUGUGGAGGUUGCUGGAAAACCCUGAGUCUCUCUGUGCGCAGAUUUUGAGGGCCAAAUAUUAUCAGGAUGGAAAGUUACUAGAUGCUAAGUUAAAAAGUGGGAGUUCAUAUACAUGGCAGAGUAUUUGUGCUGGUAUUAAUACGUUCAGGAGAGGAGCAAUUUGGCGCAUAGGAGAUGGGUCACAAGUGAAUAUAUGGUCUUACCCUUGGAUUCAAACGAGUGUGGAUGGACGAAUUAUUACACCAAGAGGUACGACCUUACUGACCAAGGUUUCAGAGUUGAUCGACCCUGUCACCGGCCUAUGGGACCAUGAGCUGAUCAAUAAUGUGUUCUGGCCGGUUGAUGCCCAUCGAAUCUUGUCAAUACCUUUGGCGCCGAAUGGCAUGAUGGAUGAUUUCGUGGCUUGGAGAUUUACAAGGAACCAUAUCUUCUCGGUAAGAUCUGCUUACUACAUAGAGUGGGAUCAUCAAUUUGCUCGCUGGUACGAGAGAACAGAGGGAUAACCAUCACAACGGCACCCGGUUUGGGCAAAUUUGUGGAGCUCCCAAGUCCCAGCGAAGAUAAAGAUCCACGCUUGGAGGAUCCUACAUGGUUUUAUUCCAUGUCGCGGGGUUCUGGUGAACCGGCAUAUUGGCACGGAUGAUAGCUGCGCCAUGUGUGCAGGUGGAUUUGAGGACAUCAUGCACUCACUGUUUACAUGCCCGAGAGCAGCGGAAAUUUGGAGAUGCCUGAAGCUAGACAGAUUCAUU
rnacentral:rRNA from 1 species